ACGGCUCAGUAACACGUGGAUAACCUGCCCUCAGGUCCGGCAUAACCCCGGGAAACUGAGGAUAAUUCCGGAUAUCCCUUUUCUGCUGGAAGGCUUAAAGGGACAAAGAAUUUCGCCUGAGGAUGGGUCUGCGGCCUAUCAGGUUGUAGGGGGUGUAACGUACCCUCUAGCCGACAACGGGUACGGGUUGUGAGAGCAAGAGCCCGGAGAUGGAUUCUGAGACAUGAAUCCAGGCCCUACGGGGCGCAGCAGGCGCGAAAACUUUACAAUGCAGGAAACUGUGAUAAGGGAACACCGAGUGCUCGCAUCAAAUGCGGGCUGUCCACAUACCUAAAUCGUAUGUGUUAGCAAGGGCCGGGCAAGACCGGUGCCAGCCGCCGCGGUAAUACCGGUGGCCCGAGUGGUAGCCGCUUUUAUUGGGUCUAAAGGGUCCGUAGCCUGUCUGAUCAGUCCAUUGGGAAAUCCGGAUGCUCAACAUCCGGGCUUCCAGUGGAUACUGUCAGACUUGGGAUCGGGGGAGGUAAGAGGUACUACACGGGGUAGGAGUGAAAUCUUCUAAUCCUUGUGGGACCACCUGUGGCGAAGGCGUCUUACCAAAACGAGUCCGACGGUGAGGGACGAAAGCUGGGGGCACGAACCGGAUUAGAUACCCGGGUAGUCCCAGCCGUAAACGAUGCUCGCUAGGUGUCAGGCAUGGCGUGACUGUGUCUGGUGCCGAAGGGAAGCCGUGAAGCGAGCCACCUGGGAAGUACGGCCGCAAGGCUGAAACUUAAAGGAAUUGGCGGGGGAG
rnacentral:rRNA from 1 species